rnacentral:rRNA from 1 species
UGGGGAAUCUUCCGCAAUGGACGAAAGUCUGACGGAGCAACGCCGCGUGAACGAAGAAGGUUUUCGGAUUGUAAAGUUCUGUGAUUCGGGACGAAAGGGUUUGUGGUGAAUAAUCAUAGACAUUGACGGUACCGAAAAAGCAAGCCACGGCUAACUACGUGCCAGCAGCCGCGGUAAUACGUAGGUGGCAAGCGUUGUCCGGAAUUAUUGGGCGUAAAGCGCGCGCAGGCGGUUUCUUAAGUCCAUCUUAAAAGCGUGGGGCUCAACCCCAUGAGGGGAUGGAAACUGGGAAGCUGGAGUAUCGGAGAGGAAAGUGGAAUUCCUAGUGUAGCGGUGAAAUGCGUAGAGAUUAGGAAGAACACCGGUGGCGAAGGCGACUUUCUAGACGAAAACUGAACCUACGGCAGAGUGGGGGAGCAAACAGGAUUAGAUACCCCUGGUAGUCCACGCCCGUAAACGAUGGAUACUAGGUGUAGGAGGUAUCGACCCCUCCUGUGCCGGAGUUAACGCAAUAAGUAUCCCGCCUGGGAAGUACGAUCGCAAGAUUA